rnacentral:tRNA from 1 species
AGGGCUAUCGCCAAGCGGUAAGGCAGCGGCUUUUGAUGCCGCCAUUCCCUGGAUCGGACCCAUCUAGCCAUGCCA